UGCGCAGGCGGAAAGAUAAGUCAGUGGUGAAAUCCUACGGCCUAACCGUAGAACUGCCAUUGAAACUGUCUUUCUUGAGUAUAGUUGAAGUGGGCGGAAUGUGUCAUGUAGCGGUGAAAUGCAUAGAUAUGACACAGAACACCAAUAGCGAAGGCAGCUCGCUAAACUAUAACUGACGCUCAUGCACGAAAGCGUGGGGAGCAAACAGGAUUAGAUACCCGAGUAGUCC
rnacentral:rRNA from 1 species